CUUCACCAUUUGAGACCUUUCCCAUUUUAUGCUUUUUAUUUCCCUGGAGCAAAGACACUGUGUCCUGAACUGGAACCAAAUCUGUUUUGCAGAUAAUCACACGGACUUGUCCUGGGUUUGUCAAACACAUUCUGGCGUAUGGGUGGUCUCGUCCAACCAGAGUCAACAUGGACUCCUUCAGCAUUUUAUUUCUUUCAGGUUGUUGAUGUGGAGCAGAUGAGGAGGAGGUACCUAUUGAGCAGAGGAUUUCUAUAGAAGUGUCAGAGGUCAGGACUCCAAGGCAGAUGUGUCUGCCCAGAGGGCCCACUCCUAUGAGAUAUAUAGCCUGGUCUUGAGAGAGAUUUUGCGUUUGGCUGUGCCAAGGAACACGUACCAGCCAGAAACCCUACACCUAUGGGGCACAUGGGAAAUGAUUAUAUUUUACCGCAAACCUUCCAUAGCUCUGGAAGCAGGACAUUAGAGAGAAACACUUCAGAAGCAGAACUUCAUUCGUGAAGAGCUGCAAGUUCUUUGUGUCAAGGAAGCCCUUUAUCUGUAGGGAGGUUGGGAAGGACUUUUUGACCAGCUCUGGGUCUCUCCAACAAUAAGUCAAAGAGCAGUGCCAAGUGCAUAGUGGCCUUACACGAUAUAGAAAUUCAUUAUAAAUCAGGAGGAUGCUUGAAAACUUGUGAGAACAAAUACACAUUUAUUCAGCACCGGAGAGAGCUUUCUAGAAUAUGAUGUUACGUAUGUAGUGCAUGUGGGAAGUCUUUGACCAAAAGGUACCGCCUCAAUCACCGUUGGAGAGUUCACACUGGGAAAGGGCCUUAGUAAGUGUGCAGAAUGUGGUAAAUUAUUUAGCAUUAAGGCCAGCCUCAUUCCGCAUCAGUGUUCACACUGGGGAAGAGCCUUACGUGUGCGGGGAAUGUGGGAACUUGUUUCCUUACAGAUCCAGUCUCUCUAAUUACCUGAGGUUUCACGCUGAAUCAAGGCCUUAUGAGUGUGGUGAAUGUGGGAAAUCUUUUAGCCAAAGUUCUGUGCUCUUCCAACAUCAGAAUUCACACUGGAGGAAGGCCUCUUGAGUAUGGGGAAUCUGGGAAAUCCUUUAAAUAAAGCUCUGGUGCUCCUUCGGUGUUGGAAAGUUCACCCUGGAUGAAGGCCUUCUGUAUGUGACAACUUCCCCAGCAGAGGCCCUAUCUCAUCAACUACCAGAUAAUUCAUGUAGGAAACUCAGAGGAUUAAUGUAGAUGUGCAGGGAGUGUGCUAGUUCUGUAUUCCUUCUAAUGCUGGAGGUGGCUUAUGAGGGUGCAAUCUGCCUGAAUUUAAUCUCCUACAUCAGAACAGCCACCAAAUUCCAGAUUCAGCAUGAAUAGUUCAUCAUUUUUAUAUCGCUGAGAAGUAUGAUUUUUUUUGAACUACCGCUGCUUGUAUAUUCAUUCAUCUGUUUAUGGAUAUCGACUGCUUUCCGGUACUGGUUGUUACAAAU